AUUUGGCUCGAUCGGUAUCGGAUGCUUCCCACACUACGUGUUUGUACCGCGCUCUGUCGGGAAUCACGGUAGAUAAAACCGACAGAUCGAAUCUAACGUUAAUUAUUAUUAACAUUACCCUUCAGUGUUUGUGAGCCCUACGAACACUCUUCCUGGUUUGGUUCAAUCUUAACAGCCGGUGCUUCCUAUUUCUAUACGAACGCAAUACUGGCUUACGAAAUUUGGCUGAAAAAUAGUUUGCAUCUUUCGCUUAGCCGGUAUUGGGAUCCUUCAGGAAUGCUCAACCCGAUCAGUAGUAGACUUUGACCACACUGAACACUGUCUGUGUCGCUCUCUUUAGGGAAUCACAAGAAAUAACCCGGCAGGCAAUUGACGUUUCAUACUAGGGUGAGGGGUGUUGAAACGCAUGGAAGAGCAGGAAGAAACACGGACGAGCGCUGAUGAACUGCAACUGUGUGCGUGCAACAGCACCAAACGGCAUGUGACGACGUACAGUGUGUGGAUGUGUGUGUGUAAUUUUAGGCAGCGAAGAUGGAUCGAGGUUAUGUUAACAAAGUGAAAGAGUUUGAUGCAGAAGCGUCUUUGUGAUAAACAUGUAUUUUAGUUGCAUAUUUUCAGUGUUAAAGUUUGUAAUGUGAACUUAAAAGUAAUGACCAAUGGUGCUAUUCACUUGUGUGCUGUUGGCAAAUAUUGAAGCGUUGAAAUAUUGAAGCUUCCUAUGUUAGUUUGUUGUGCUUAGUGUGAAGCAAAAAUGUGUGCUAAAGAGUUAUAAAUUAGAAAUAUUUAUACGUAUCCGUCUAAUGUUCGGUUGUACCCAUCUAAUUUUCCAUAUUUUUGGGUGUCCUUAUCGUUUACCAGGAGAAAAAGAUUGGAGAUUAGAUACGUGCAGCUAUUUCGUCUCCGCAGGAAUGUUCUUCAGGAAUGUUCCAAGCUGUCUGAAGACACACAAAUCCGAUUCACCUCGUAUGCAACCAGCGGAUUUCAUGCGAAGGAUUUGGAAAGCCAUCAAAGAAGUAGGUAUGAUGGUAAGGAAACUUUGAUUCUUUUUACUUUUAGAUUUCUUAUCCUUAUUUUUGUUUACAACAACCUUGGAUCGUCGGCGAGGGCCUUAUGGGCGCGGUCAGAACAACAACCUGAUGAGCAUUUCGUUCCAGGCGGAUAUUAUCUCAAGUUUGGGAAUUGAAGAGAGUUACGGCACACUGUGAACAUCGUUGUAAACAAUCGAUGGUAACAUUUAUAUAUAGCUUAUGAAUGCAUGUGCUUAUCUAAUUAUUCAUUAAUUCGUUUAUUUAUUAAUUUGAGCAUUAGCGCUCCAUCGACGUGAACACCAGGUAAUGUUGACCAAUGAUGAUUACCAACACGAACUGGCAUUCUUUGUUGACUGAUCCGUGCGCGCUGACCGGCCACUGAAACCACCGAAGGCACUGCACUUGUUGUCGUGAGUUGUCCAACAACACGGACCGGAAAGCCGGGAGGACGAAUGGCACGAGGAACGGCAACCGGAACCACCGUCAGCACUGCACUUGUCGUCGGAAGUUGUCCAACAACACGGACUGGUACAUCUGACUGACGAAACGAUUCACACCCGCAAUGGCCGAAGGCAUUACUUGUAAAGGAAGUGGCACUUGAGACUCUUCCACAACUUCCUUUUAUACUGCAUUUCGAGCUGCCGGUGCGCAGACUUAUGAAUGAGUGGUAGUUAUGUACCCAAUCUUGGUGUUUCCGGGUUACUCGCCAUCGCGCUGGAGUCGUAUCAUACUGCACCUGUCCUGCUUCGAUUAUUGCCUACGCAAAGACAAAAUUAGAGCACGCGUUCCUAUUCCUCAUCCUCCGGCACCAUCUGCAGAAUGUGGGAAUCACUGCUCUAUAAAAACCACCGGACUACCACAAACUGGAAACAGCGGAACACCCCGUGGGUCACCGGCCAACAACAUGCAUAUCGGCUGAAACUUGGACCCAUGAUAAAUUGCAGCAAAGUUGAAGUAAGCCUGACAGUAUCUAAAGUAAUAGAAAGACAGUUUGAUAAACUGGUUAACAAUGUUUGUUAUUUCAUUUCAGCUAAUAUGCCGUGCGAAAAAGCAAAAUAAAUCUUUAAUGUUAAUGUUUAUUAAGCUAAACCGACAUUAUAUUUUUUAUCUAAAACGUUUUUGAUGUGUUUUUUCUCAUCGCGUUUAGGCGUCGUGUAUCAGAUCGCAACUGCUAAUAAUUUCGUCGUCUGAGGCGGACGGUUAUGGAGAUCAUCCCGAUCAUCGUCGUACUGUUAGCUUAUUAGCAAAAUUAGCGACAGUGUAAAAUUUGUGCUGUGAGGAUUACAGCUGGCUCUCACAACCGUCCGGAAGUCGCAGUGAUUUGGUAACAUCAAGAUCAUCACCACCGCACGAAGCGCAGCAUAUUGAAGCAAGCCCAAGCGGACAGCAACCACCUGCAGCAAACGUACGCCGAACGAAUGGACGUGGUAGACACGUUAU